ensembl:lncRNA
GUUGCUACAGCCAAGUCUAACCCCAACCAGUCCUUCUUUCAGCCCAGGCGCAGUGUCUCAUUUCAUUGAGUCCUCAACCACUUGUGUCAGGAAGUUAUCACCAAUGCUCUCCAAAAACCUCCUGGUUUGCUGGUGCCCUUCUCUGUGGCAUUCCAGAAGUGGUAAAAGUACACCGUGAGUACCAGAGCCUGCAAACAGGACAUUUCUUCCAGUUGACUGAAGAAAACUUAAUCUGCUUCUUCCUGAUAAGCACAGACACCCUCCAGAACCCUGACGCUUCCACAUAUGUAGGAUACAACUGCCCCUUUAGCAUCCUGAAGACUCAACACACUGCUGGCCGGAAAAGAAAUCCAGCCACUUCUCAAGGGAAAAGCAAGAGUAAAACCAACAGGCGCCCUUGCAAGACGCUGCAAGAAUAUGUCGUUUAAAUUAACGCAUCUCAGUAGGGCAUGCACACACCAAACCUGCAACCACGCUUAAGGACUAUGUAAGCACACCUCAGCUAAAUUUUAGCAACCUAUGACUGCUACCAGCAACAGAAAAAGCGAGAACUCAUCUUGAGCUCAUCCCAGGAAGGAAAUGAGUUCUCAAAAUCCAUAAUCAACUGGUCUUCAUCCGUUCCUUCCAUCCCCUCCCUCCCUAGCAUAAGCAGAUUUGAUCUCAUCUCCCCUGAUUCAGAUCCAGUGUCGUGUCACCGUGAUGACUCAAAAGGACCCAAAUGUGCCAGCCUUUUGACUUUCAGUUUUUGGAGAAAAAAUGAGUGCAACUUUGGUUUCUGCAAGAGUUUCCACAAGUUUCCUUUGGUGAUACAAAUGGGACAAUCAGCAGUCUAUUUUACAGGGCAAAGCUGAGCGCUAAUUACAAAAAUGUCACUACCCAUAGAACAUGUGUUUUCUUUAAACGAAUUAUGAUUUUUGCAGAUAUUUCACGUUUAAAUAUACAUGCAUAUUAUCUUCAAAUUUAAAGUCUAAUUUGCAUUUCAGAAUAUGACACUGUAAUUUGAUUUUCCCAGAUAUAUCACUCUUAAUUAAUCCUAACAGUUACCCAGCUUUUCUACAUUUCAAUUAUCACUAUUUAAAGUUGAGAAGAGACUUCUAAUUGAUCUAAAUUACAUAUUCAAAUUAGCCUUUAUGAGCUCAAAUUAACAUACCAUACACUCAUUUUAUCUAAUUGGGUCCCCAAAACAUCACCAAAGUUAAUUUUUAAUAUAUUAAUUAGUAUGAAUUCACAAAUAAUGAAACUACACUAAGUUCCUCUAACUGAAAUCUCCUCUUCAAACAGCACCUUUAGCGGCUUUCAAGGUUUAAUAAGGCAUGAAAUACUCCUCCCCCACAGCUCCUCCAAAGUAACAUAAAGCCCAGCACAGAGCUCUGCAGUCACAAGUCUUGAUUCCUCGGGGUCUUUAAUAUCUACUGAAGGAGAACUCAGGUGGCUCUGCCUGAUCCCAACUGCUACCCACCUAUGCUAGUAGUAUGAAAAGCACACAGCACGAUUAACUUUUUUUCUACUGAAUGUAAUCCUCUGUUCUUCAAAAAUGUAAAGGUUUAGGCUGUUUAUUCUUUAGCUGAAGCACCUCUACAUGUUAAUCACUGCAAAUGGUAACUGAAACAUGGCAGAGGGGUGCAAUCUCAGCUCUGAAUGAGCUUGCCUAAGAAAGGAACAGUCCAGAGUUCAUGGUUCAUAGGAAAACUCAACACUUCAAAAUUUGGUCUCAGUCCAAUUUAGAAUUAAAUCUGUUUUAAAAAGCUUAUUUUAAGCAUAAAAUUCUGUAGGAUUCUUGCUUUGGGAAGUCAAAAGCUGAAGCUUUCAAAGCAUAACGUUUCUUAUGUUCAUCAGUUGCUGAAAAUCUUGAUAUAACCCACAUCACUAAUCCUUUAACCAAGGAACGUGUUCAAUUCCAUGUGCUCAGUAACAAAUCUUGUGGCCCUAGUUACCCUGUUUCUUACUAGAUACAUUUCUGUUUAUAAUAUGAAAUUAUGUCUGACAGAUGCAUGUAUAAAUAGUACGAUGACUCCUAAAUUCCCCAUUUAAAGCAUCAAAUAUAGUAUGCACAACUUUUGUUACCUUGUAUACCUUGGAAAUACCUUUUAGUUCAUAGUCCUCUCCAAAUAUUUUGAGUUUUACAGUAGAAUAAGUAACACAAGCAAACCAGAACAAAUUUUCACGUUUCUGCUACUACUGGAUUAUAACAAAGAAAAUAACAGUUCUGCCAAAGCAAAGUAUAUAUGCUCUGCAACUGAGGUGAGGCAAAGUGUGGAAUAUAAAGUCUACAGUGCUGCAAGUCCAGAAAAAUCAAUAAAGAAACUGCAACACAGAAU